GAUGAACGCUGGCGGCGCGCCUAACACAUGCAAGUCGAACGGCACCCCUCUCCGGAGGGAAGCGAGUGGCGAACGGCUGAGUAACACGUGGAGAACCUGCCCCCUCCCCCGGGAUAGCCGCCCGAAAGGACGGGUAAUACCGGAUACCCCCGGGCGCCGCAUGGCGCCCGGGCUAAAGCCCCGACGGGAGGGGAUGGCUCCGCGGCCCAUCAGGUAGACGGCGGGGUGACGGCCCACCGUGCCGACAACGGGUAGCCGGGUUGAGAGACCGACCGGCCAGAUUGGGACUGAGACACGGCCCAGACUCCUACGGGAGGCAGCAGUGGGGAAUCUUGCGCAAUGGGGGGAACCCUGACGCAGCGACGCCGCGUGCGGGACGGAGGCCUUCGGGUCGUAAACCGCUUUCAGCAGGGAAGAGUCAAGACUGUACC
rnacentral:rRNA from 1 species